GCGCUAAGGCCCCGCGGCGGCGGCGGCGCUGCCGUGUUGACAGCGGCGGCCGCGCCGGGAGCUGCCCCGGGAAGCGGGUUGGCGGCGCCGGUUCUCCCGCUCCCCACUCCGCUAUGGCCUUCAUGGAGAAGCCGCCGGCCGGCAAGGUGCUGCUGGACGACACGGUGCCGCUGACAGCGCAGAUCGAGGCGAGCCAGAGCCUGCACUCGCACACGGAAUACAUAAUCCGUGUUCAGAGAGGAGUUUCAGCAGAAAACAGUUGGCAGAUUGUGAGGCGAUACAGUGACUUUGACUUACUUAAUAACAGCUUGCAGAUCUCAACUCUAAGUCUACCUCUUCCUCCAAAAAAAUUGAUUGGAAAUAUGGAGCGUGAAUUCAUCGCUGAAAGACAGAAGGGACUCCAGGCCUAUCUCGAUGUAAUUACCACCCAUCACAUACUGUCUAACUGUGAACUGGUAAAGAAAUUCUUGGACCCAAACAGCUAUUCUGUAAACUACACUGAAAUUGCCUUACAGCACGUUUCAAUGUUCUUCCGAUCAGAGCCAAAGUGGGAAGUGGUAGAACCAUUAAAAGAUAUAGGUUGGCGAAUACGUAAGAAAUAUUUCUUAAUGAAGAUAAAGAAUCAACCAAAGGAGCGGCUAGUGUUAAGCUGGGCUGAUCUUGGCCCUGAUAAGUACUUGUCUGACAAAGACUUACAGUAUGCUGUGAAACUUCUUUCUUCCUGUUCUCAUCCCUAUAUUUACAAAAUCACUUUUGCCACUGCCAAUGAAUCUUCAGCACUGGUUAUUAGACCAUUCAGUGAAAAAGGGACACUAAAGGACCUUAUUUAUAAGGCAAAGCCAAAAGACCCAUUCCUGAAGAAGUAUUGCAAUCCUAAAAAAAUUCAAGGUCUUGAGCUUCAGCAAAUAAAAACAUAUGGAAGGCAAAUAUUAGAGGUAUUAAAAUUCUUGCAUGAGAAAGGAUUUCCUUACGGCCAUCUUCACUCUGCCAAUGUGAUGUUGGAUGGGGAUACCUGCAAGUUACUGGAUCUAGAAAAUUCCUUGUUGGGACUUCCAUCAUUUUAUCGAUCAUACUUUUCACAGUUUCGGAAAAUUAAUACUUUAGAAGGUGUUGAUGUACAUUGCUUUGGACACUUACUGUAUGAAAUGACGUACGGAAGACCCCCAGACACGAUUCCAGUAGAGAGCUUCCCCCCUGCACCCUCAGUGUUUGUUGUGUCAGUGUUGGAAUCCAUUCUGACCUGUGAAGCUAUGAAGAAUGGCAUGCCAACUGUCUCACGGCUCUUACAGAUGCCAUUAUUCAGUGACGUCCUGCUAACAAACUCUGAGAAACCACAGUUUAAGAUUCCUACCAAGCUAAAAGAGGCGUUGAAAAUCUCCAAGGAAUGCAUAGAAAAGCGAUUAACAGAAGAACAGAAAUUGAUUCACCAGCACAGAAGGCUGACAAGAGCUCAAUCUCAUCAUGGCUCUGAAGAAGAAAAAAAGAAAAGGAAGAUCUUAGCACGAAAAAAGUCAAAACGUUCUGCCUAUGAAAGUGGGGAAGAACACUCAGCAAAAUACAGCAACUCAAAUAACUCAGCAGGCUCUGGGGCAAGUUCCCCUUUAACAUCUCCAUCAUCCCCCACUCCUCCCUCUACAGCAGGUAAGUUCAAGAGUCAUUAUUUUAUGGUUUUGGGUUUUUUUAUUCCCCUCUGUUCCUCAGUGGUGGGUGUUAUUUCCAAGGAUGACUAAGGGAUGGUGAUUUUCAAGGAUGGAACACAGAGAUGACAAUUAUCUUGUGCCAGCCUGAGUGUGGGCAUGUGAGCCAUUCUCUAUGGCUCUCUUUUGAGGACCAUAGAAAACCUUUUAAUAGUUUUCUUUUUCAUUUAAUAACCUUUCCUGGGAUAUACAUGAUAUGAUUUAUCCACAGAGUGUAAGUGCUUGCUUCAAAGUCUCUUUUACUGCAGGCCUACUGACAUUGCUACUUUCCAGACAUUUUUUGGGCCUCAUGUUGCAGUAUGCAUUUGUUCUGGUGUUAAUGGUCUGUUGACUCUGAAAUACUGCUUGUUCAUCCCUUGUGUAUUGUCUCUUUACUCCUGUACUGCUAUGAUGUAUUUUCAGAAAUUUUGGAUGUGACAAAUUCAGUGGUUUAGGCUGUGUAAAUCUCCCCAGUUGUGCUACAGCCCAUUGAUAACCCAUUAGAGCUCGUAGAAACGAGUCAGAGACUGAUUUGGGUUAAAAAUAAUAUCUUUAUUAUUUUUGACCAGUUCUGUUUUUCAGUUUGCAGGGUAGCUGUGCAGACAGUUUGCUAAUGUUUAGGACAGGUGAUGAGAAGUGGUGAAGAAUCUGCUUGAGUGACCAAUAGAAAUACUCUGAAAGUUUGAUUACAAAUCUGAGUAUUGAGCAACAGUGGAUGUUCUUCAGGCUGAAAGGCUGGAAGAGGAGCACUGGCAAAGAUUUCUAGAGGGGAAGCAGUCCAUAGCAUCACCAUUUGUUAUGGUGACUCAUGCCAUAGGAUUUCUAGUCCCAGGAACUUUCUACACAGAACAACUCAGUAACUAACAUGAUGCAAUCAAAUUUGUGUUUGCUGUGAAUGAUCUUUCAAAGGACACUGCAGUCUGAUGUAAUUCAAAUCAGUCAUGCUGAAAUUUAAAUUAGUAAUUUCUCCUUCAAGGUGAGGGUAUGAGAAAUGUGUAUUUUAGGAACUAAUUUCUCCCAGUUAGCCUAAACAAAAUAAUUAGUGUUAUUGUGUUGCACAGUAACAGUGCUGCUCUCAGGAUGCACCCAGUGUUAGCUGGAGGGUUUGUUACACUUUUAAUAAAGAAGUAGCUGCAAAUGCAAAAGAAAACCUUGUGCCUCCAAGAUGGACAAAUGGAAACAAUUUUUUCUUUUUCAGUAAAACUACCUUUUAGUUAUGUUUUAACUUGGACUUGUUGGAACUUCGUUGAAAGCUUUUUCAAGUUUUAAGCAUGUGAUGCAGGUUUAUGUGUUGAUGUGACUCAAAUGGCUGAGUGAGCUGAUGGCUUGGAUGUUGUUCGUGAAGUGUAAAGGCAAGUGGCACAUUUUCAGGAAUGCUUUUGUGAGUAGAAUUAAUUGAAGAAAUUGUGGAUAUUAGUUCUAAGAGAAAACUAGUGUGCUGAAUUUUUUCACCAGCAGUGUUGUAGUUUUAGCUGCUCUAAGCAGAUAUGCUAUUACUGGCUCAAUGAAAGACUCACUGGCCCCAUGGUAGGACUUAGUGACAAGUGAUGCCUUUGUAGCUUGUCUCUCUUCCAAUUUCCUUGUACUUACUAAGGGUAUUUACCUCUAAACCAAAAUUGCUUGUGGGUAUCAGUGUGGUGAGAUGAUUCUCAAAAGGGCAUGAGGCUUUCAGUCUGUCUGUGUGGUUUGGUUGUGGUCGUGUUAGCAUCAGGGCAUCUCAAAGCAUCCUGGUGAUGUGAUGCCAGGGCAAAAUUGAGGCUGAUGAGGGAAAGUGCACCCAGCAGAAGCUCUUGCCAUCAUUUGGUAACCAACUAAAUCAGUGUGGUGUGUGGGUAUGUGCAGAGCCAGAGACACUGGGGAAUGGGCUCCAGGCUGACAUGUCCUGGGGAAGGAACCUGUUCAGGGGUUUCUCACAUGUUGAGAGGUGCUUUGUCUCUCAACAAAGGCCUUGUGAGACUUGGCUUGCACCAGAGUGCUUGGUAUAGUUGAUGGAAGACAGACUAAGAAAUAAAAUAGUUGUUGGCUUUCACUGUUUUUUUAAUGGCAGCUGCAGCUGUAGGAUUGACUGCAUGACCUGCUUUGAGGGGAAAGGUGUCCACUGGAAACAUCGGCUCUUAUGGGCUGCUGUCAUUGAUGAGAAUGUUUUGGGCUGGUGUUGUUGCAGAUACUUGGCUAAAUAACCUCUUUGAAGGACAUUGGUUAGAUCAUGGCAAGUGAUUCUAAUGCAACAACCUGUGUCUCUGACAUUCUCCCUUGAAGGUCCGGUUCUUUUUUUCUCCCCAUUUCUUUGCUUCUUUGAAAAUCUGUUGGUUUUCUUUGUGGAUAUGAGCUGUGGCUAGGAUCAAAAGAGAUGCAGAACACUGUGAUAUGGGUUAUUUAAAACUUCACUGAAUCGUCUCUAAAACCAAUAAGACCAUAAAAUAACAGCAUGAUGUUUUACAACAGAGAAAAGUUUGUGGGGUGUUACUUUUGCUUUCCUGGGCUUUUCUGCAGGAACAAAGUGAGAGUUGUACUUAACAAUCUUUUCUGUGCCAGUUAUUCUAAAUCCUUCAGCACAAUAUAGGUUUCAUUGGCAUCCAUAUGGUGCAUCUUGCCUGCCCUUCACCUUUCUGUAAGACAAUCUGAGUGCUUUAGGAAGCGCUUUUCCUGAGUGUCUCUGACUCAUAAGUGCAAAUACAGGUGUUAAUACAGCAGGAAGUGUUCCUUGAACUGAAUGGAUUUCAUCUCCUAUGGCUAAUCUUCCUGCAGAUUUCUUGCUAAAUCUCUCUAAAUGCACUUUAAUCCUCUAAAGGUUGAAUUAUGGCAUGUGCAGCUGGAAGCAUUUGUGUUGUAUUUGGUGAUCAAGUAUAAUACUGCCUAGAGUGUGGAAAAUAGUGGUUCAUUAUUCAGAACUGGACAAAGUAUUGUAAAUGUAUAUUGAAAUAGUCAAUCCACUGUCCUUGUAUUUGUCAGUGAAUAAGAAUGUAUUGACUUUUGUACUAACUUUUCAGCUAACAGUGUCUGUUUUUCUUACUUUGACACGAGAACCGGAUGAUUAACUUGUGUCCUCUCUCUUUCUCUGCUGUCUUCAAUAGAGCAUGCAUCAUUUUGAACGUGAAUUUUCGGAAAAGUAAGCUAAUGCUGAUUUAUCUCUUUAAAGAUGCUCUGUUUCUAAAUGGGAAAGUUGAAUGCAAAUCUUGAACUUAGUAUUGGGAGGGAAUAUAAGAAAAAAAUCUGAAUGUUCCUACAGAUUAUUUUAAUGAAAUGCAGCAUCUUUAAAACCUCACUAAAAUGAUUUUCUUUGUUCGCAUCCCAUUCUCAGCCAAGUUUUUAAUGCUGUUUGCACUAUUGCUGUCACUUUAAAUUCAUAAUUAAGUUUUUGUUUCAAUUCAGGCAUCAAGUUUACAGCAUCUGAUUUACUUCCUAUUCCUUUUAACACACUCUUUUAACAAAAAUGUCCCUGUAAAAACCCUUGGAGCAUCGUCCAUACCCCCAGCACCGCCUCCGCCACCCCUGCCACCAGCAGCUCCUCCCCUGAGUACAGAGGUGCCAAUGCCACAGCCCGUCAGUGCGAGCCGGGGAGCCUUGCUCAGCUCCAUCCAAAACUUUCAGAAAGGAACUCUGAAGAAAACACAGACGUGCGACUACAGUGCUCCCAGGAUCAGCUGAGGCCACUGGUCACUCCAGGAUUGAAUUCCCUCUCCCCCUCCUGUGCUGACCCUCCUGACCAGCAACUGACCCACCAGCACUGAUGACUUUGGAGCUCCGUUCUGCCCGAUUUCAGCUUUCCUCGAGCAGCAGCACUGCCCUGCCCGAAUUGCCUCCCCAUGCUGUGAUAAGUACUCCAUUCUUUACUGGGUUUCAAGAAUUGUGUUCUCUGGCUACAAUUGCAGGGGUACAGCAGCUUCUAUAUAGCUGAAUAAAAAUCUGAAAAUAGGAAUGACCAUGAUGAUGGUGAAUUAAUGCAUUUUUUCCUAGCUCUAUUCCACCCCUUUUUUUCAAAUUACAGGGAUGUAGUUUUAGUCUGCUCAGUUUUUCAACUCUUUCCAUGCACUUGUAACUCAUUGUAAUUCUUGCUGCAUUGAAUCAACAAGUUUUGUUUUAGAUAAUCCAACCCUUAAAACAUACUGCACAGGUGAGGGAACUGGAGAAUUAAAUCUUAUUCCCACCAUAUUUGCUGGUGGAGUUAAAAUGCUGUCUCACUAAGCUUGUUUAAAUGGACAUCCUACCUGCCACCACAAGGGAAAGUGUUUUUAAAUGAGGAAACAGUUGAAAUGGGAGUUAAUAGGGCACUGGGAUGUUAUUCUUGAUUUAGUUAAAUGCAAAGUUACUUCAAGUUAAUUCUACAGUUUAAACUUUAUUGAAAGAUCCUUUUUGAUUUAAAACCUUAAACAAAUUGCACUUUAAAGGAUUAUAGAUAAUCCAUUUUUUAAAAUUCAAGUACAUCAGUGUUUGUUACUAUGCAGAGAAUGUCUGUACAAAGUUUCAUGUAACCUGUGAUAUUCAGUCAUUUUUAUUAAAAUGUUAAUGGAA